GCCACCCUAGCUUAGUUCGGUAGAGCAAUUGGCUGUUAACCAAUAGGUCGCAGGUUCGAGUCCUGCGGGUGGCGCCA
rnacentral:tRNA from 1 species